rnacentral:rRNA from 1 species
CGAGACUGCCGGUAAUAAACCGGAGGAAGGUGGGGAUGACGUCAAAUCAUCAUGCCCCUUAUGACCUGGGCUACACACGUGCUACAAUGGCUGGUACAACGAGUCGCAAGCCGGUGACGGCAAGCUAAUCUCUGAAAGCCAGUCUCAGUUCGGAUUGUAGGCUGCAACUCGCCUACAUGAAGUCGGAAUCGCUAGUAAUCGCGGAUCAGCACGCCGCGGUGAAUACGUUCCCGGGCCUUGUACACACCGCCCGUCACACCACGAGAGUUUGUAACACCCGAAGUCGGUGAGGUAACCGUAAGGAGCCAGCCGCCUAAGGUGGGAUAGAUGAUUGGGGUGAAGUCGUAACAAGGUAGCCGUAUCGGAAGGUGCGGCUGGAUCACCUCCUUU